AUUCCAGCUCCAAUAGCGUAUAUUAAAGUUGUUGCAGUUAAAACGCUCGUAGUCGGAUUUCGGGGCGGGCCGACCGGUCUGCCGAUGGGUAUGCACUGGCCGGCGCGUCCUUCCACCCGGAGACCGCGCCUACUCUUAACUGAGCGGGCGCGGGAGACGGGUCUUUUACUUUGAAAAAAUCAGAGUGUUUCAAGCAGGCAGUCGCUCUUGCAUGGAUUAGCAUGGGAUAAUGAAAUAGGACUCUGGUGCUAUUUUGUUGGCUUCGAACACCGGAGUAAUGAUUAAUAGGGACAGUCGGGGGCAUUUGUAUUCAAACGACAGAGGUGAAAUUCUUGGACCGUUUGAAGACAAACUACUGCGAAAGCAUUUGCCAAGAAUGUUUUCAUUA
rnacentral:rRNA from 1 species